GGGCCACAGCCCAUUAUCUUCGUUCCCUCACCUCACCCCACCCCUCCUGCAUGGUCCCAGCUCAAGCCGCAGCCAAAACCAACCACUGCUAGGAUGGCAAAUGCGGAGGUCAGAAGACCCCCAUCCAGAGAGAGUCCUGCGCCAUAUGAGGAAGGAAGGAAUGCUGCGCAGAGAGGCCGAAAAGAAUCUUGACAGACAGGCCUCGCUGGGUUCCCCACUCAGUCUAUCAGCAUUAGAUCAGGCUCUUUUGUCCAACCGUAUUUCUACACGGCCAUCCAUACUUUGUUGAACUGAAGCCUAAAAAUGGACAGUUUCUCCUGUAUCUUUGGGUGUUCAUUCUGAAGGUUCUUGUAUCUCAUAAAACCAUGGUCAAAUAAAUUUGUGUAUUUG
rnacentral:lncRNA from 10 species